AACGAACGCUGGCGGCGCGCCUAAUACAUGCAAGUCGAGCGAGAAGACGUAGCAAUACGUUUGUAAAGCGGCGAACGGGUGAGGAAUACAUGGGUAACCUACCCUCGAGUGGGGAAUAACUAGCCGAAAGGUUAGCUAAUACCGCGUACGCUCCUUGGACUUCGGUUCAGGGAGGAAAGCGAUACCGUGGGUAUCGCGCUCUUGGAUGGGCUCAUGUCCUAUCAGCUUGUUGGUGAGGUAACGGCUCACCAAGGCUUCGACGGGUAGCUGGUCUGAGAGGACAAUCAGCCACACUGGCACUGCGACACGGGCCAGACUCCUACGGGAGGCAGCAGUAAGGAAUAUUGCGCAAUGGGCGAAAGCCUGACGCAGCGACGCCGCGUGGGGGAUGAAGGUCUUCGGAUUGUAACCCCUUUCGGAGGGAAGAUGGAACGAGCAAUCGUUCGGACGGUACCUCCAGAAG
rnacentral:rRNA from 1 species